UGCAUAUCAAAAAGCGGAGGAAAAGAAACCAACAGGGAUUGCCUUAGUAGCGGCGAGUGAAGCGGCAAAAGCUCAAAUUUGAAAUCUGGCUCUUUCAGAGUCCGAGUUGUAAUUUGAAGAAGGUAUCUUUGGGUCUGGCUCUUGUCUAUGUUUCUUGGAACAGAACGUCACAGAGGGUGAGAAUCCCGUGCGAUGAGAUGAUCCAGGCCUAUGUAAAGUUCCUUCGAAGAGUCGAGUUGUUUGGGAAUGCAGCUCUAAGUGGGUGGUAAAUUCCAUCUAAAGCUAAAUAUUGGCGAGAGACCGAUAGCGAACAAGUACAGUGAUGGAAAGAUGAAAAGAACUUUGAAAAGAGAGUGAAAAAGUACGUGAAAUUGUUGAAAGGGAAGGGCUUGAGAUCAGACUUGGUAUUUUGUAUGUUACUUCUUCGGGGGUGGCCUCUACAGUUUAUCGGGCCAGCAUCAGUUUGGGCGGUAGGAGAAUUGCGUUGGAAUGUGGCACGGCUUCGGUUGUGUGUUAUAGCCUUCGUCGAUACUGCCAGCCUAGACUGAGGACUGCGGUUUAUACCUAGGAUGUUGGCAUAAUGAUCUUAAGUCGCCCGUCUUGAAACACGGAC
rnacentral:rRNA from 1 species